UACGUAGGGUGCGAGCGUUAAUCGGAAUUACUGGGCGUAAAGCGUGCGCAGGCGGUUUUGAAAGACAGGCGUGAAAUCCCCGGGCUCAACCUGGGAACUGCGCUUGUGACUACAAGACUAGAGUACGGCAGAGGGGGGUAGAAUUCCACGUGUAGCAGUGAAAUGCGUAGAGAUGUGGAGGAAUACCGAUGGCGAAGGCAGCCCCCUGGGCCAGUACUGACGCUCAUGCACGAAAGCGUGGGGAGCAAACAGG
rnacentral:rRNA from 2 species